UACGAAGGGGGCUAGCGUUGUUCGGAAUUACUGGGCGUAAAGCGCGCGUAGGCGGGCAUCUAAGUCGGGGGUGAAAUCCUGGAGCUCAACUUCAGAAUUGCCUUCGAUACUGGCUUUCUAGAGGCUGGAAGAGGUUAGUGGAAUUCCCAGUGUAGAGGUGAAAUUCGUAGAUAUUGGGAAGAACACCAGCGGCGAAGGCGGCUAACUGGUCCAGAUCUGACGCUGAGGUGCGAAAGCGUGGGGAGCAAACAGG
rnacentral:rRNA from 1 species